UACAGGGGGUGCAAGCGUUGUUCGGAAUUACUGGGCGUAAAGGGUCUGUAGGUGGCUUGCUAAGUCAGACGUGAAAUCCCUCAGCUUAACUGGGGAACUGCGUCUGAUACUGAUGAGCUUGAGUGCAGGAGAGGAACGCGGAAUUCCAGGUGUAGCGGUGAAAUGCGUAGAUAUCUGGAGGAACACCGGUGGCGAAGGCGGCGUUCUGGACUGCAACUGACACUGAGAGACGAAAGCCAGGGGAGCAAACGGG
rnacentral:rRNA from 1 species